CAAGAAUGGAGAAGAGGAAGAGAAUGAAGAAGAGAAGAAGGAUGAACUCCCAGGAGAUGAUGAAUGCAGCGAAUUUCCUACACUGAUAAAAAUCUGCCCAUACAAUCACAAAGAAAUCUGUACCACCACAAAUGAGAUCAUGGGCAACAAAUGCAUGUUCUGUUUUAGGAUACAGUAAGUCAUACUAUCCAUUGGAUUUAUUGAUAACAGCUAGAGCAGCUGGAAUCCUGCAGUUAAGGUAUUGUUGGUGAAAGUGGAUAAAAUAUGUCCAUCUAGUGCCAACCAUGGUCCCUAUACAUGUUCCAAGUAAUUAUUGCUAGAUUUGCAAACUGAAAAGGAGAAAUGGGAGGGAAGGGACUAAUGAAGAAGAAAGUUCUACUGUACUCCAUUCAGGUUUCAGAUCUCCAUUCUGUGUAGAUUUGCCUUCCUCCUACUCUUAGAUCACCAAGCUGAAAUUGCUUCCUAAAUGGGAGGGAGCAUAGAGAACUAAAAUCUUUACAUAAGACACCCAUCCUCCAUUGUGCCCUCACUCCUGGCUGGGCAGCUAUUUUAGCUGAGUGAUGGGAGCAAAGUUUGAAUGGAGACCUCUGACCCCUCUUUCCUUUUCAUGUUUUCAUCUUGGUGAUCUAGCAGUAAUAACAGAAAGGUUUUAGAAAGUAUACCUGGAAACAGAAGGAAAAAUCAGGAGAUGCAAGGGGGUUAGAAACAUCAGCAGCUAAUAUAACAACAAACAUCACCAGCACACACCCAUAAAAGAAUAAGAAUGACCACGUUUAUAAACCACAUUAGUUGAACUGCCUGUAGAAAAUAUAUUUUCUUUAAAAUAUAAUUUUAAAAAAGAACAGGAGGUGAGAAAUGAAACAAAAAAUACUGCAAUUAGCAGAAUGUAGAUGGGAUCUUGAGGGGGGAAGUACAUACAGCACAGAAAUCCACCACUAGAGUGACACAAGUGGUGUCUGGAUAAGCAAAGAGGUGGGAAAAGGUAAAACAGAAUCUAACAAAGGAUAUUGAGGUGAUUUGCAGAUCUGACUGCCAGUGAUCUCAUAACAGGAACACUCAAGUUUGCCCAGCCCUGAUUUGUAAUGUGAGUUUCUGAAAUUUGCUAUCUGAAGAAGUAUCGUGACACUUGUUGUUUUGUUUUAUUUCAUCAAGCUGCUUAAUGUAUCCAACCAGGAGAUAUUGGCAUUGCACAUGAGGGUCCAUGCAAAGAAGAGCAGCCUCAAGAAGAAGAGAAAAAGCCUGAAGAAGAGGUUGGUCAUGAGGAGUUGGAUUAUGACAUGGACUACUGGUACAUGUACUAGAUGAAUGUGGACAAGGAUGGGACAUAAUGCAAAACAUCUUAAACAGAGGAGAUUAUUAUUUUUUAUUUCUUUGUCUAAAGAUAAUGUAUGUUUUAACAUCUACUACAAAUAAUUUUUUUUAGUUGCUGAUAGAAUAAAAUUAAUUGAACUAAAUAAUCUCCCUUUUUCCUAUUAGCAGGGACCUCUGUGUGGUGGAACAAGAGAGAAUAAUGUCAAGAUACAUUUCCCCCCAUUCCCUAUGUCAAUUAUUUUCUGUUUAGAAAGAAACAGAAUCAAUUAUUCCAUUAAAAGCAACUCAUUCAAUAAAUGGGUUCCAAAGACCUCAGAGGGAUUUUGAACUGUAGUAUGGUUUGGAUUAGAGCCUAAAGAUAACAAGGUCAGCUGCGGUUAGUACUUUGUUGGGGGACUACUGAUGAAUAUCAGGUGCUAUAGGCUAUGUUUCAGAGGAAGGAACUAACAAAUCCACCUACUGAGUAUUCCUUGCCUAAGAAAACCCUAUGAAUUCAAGGGAUUGCCAUAAGUUGACAGGUGAUUCGAAGACACAUAUGCACACAUAUGGUUUGAACAAAUUUUGACUGGAACAGUGCAUUCACAGA